UGGGACCUUCUGAGGUUGAGGCAAUGUGA
rnacentral:piRNA from 1 species